CCGGGUUGCGGACAGUGUCUGGUGGGUAGUUUGACUGGGGCGGUCUCCUCCUAAAGAGUAACGGAGGAGCACGAAGGUUGGCUAAUCCUGGUCGGACAUCAGGAGGUUAGUGCAAUGGCAUAAGCCAGCUUGACUGCGAGCGUGACGGCGCGAGCAGGUGCGAAAGCAGGUCAUAGUGAUCCGGUGGUUCUGAAUGGAAGGGCCAUCGCUCAACGGAUAAAAGGUACUCCGGGGAUAACAGGCUGAUACCGCCCAAGAGUUCAUAUCGACGGCGGUGUUUGGCACCUCGAUGUCGGCUCAUCACAUCCUGGGGCUGAAGUAGGUCCCAAGGGUAUGGCUGUUCGCCAUUUAAAGUGGUACGCGAGCUGGGUUUAGAACGUCGUGAGACAGUUCGGUCCCUAUCUGCCGUGGGCGAUGGAGAACUGAGGGGGGCUGCUCCUAGUACGAGAGGACCGGAGUGGACGCAUCACUGGUGUUCGGGUUGUCAUGCCAAUGGCACUGCCCGGUAGCUAAAUGCGGAAGAGAUAAGUGCUGAAAGCAUCUAAGCACGAAACUUGCCCCGAGAUGAGUUCUCCCUGAGACUUAGAGUCUCCUGAAGGAACGUUGAAGACGACGACGUUGAUAGGCCGGGUGUGUAAGCGCAGCGAUGCGUUGAGCUAACCGGUACUAAUGAACCGUGAGGCUUAACCUUACAACGCCGAAG
rnacentral:rRNA from 1 species